GAUAGGGUCUGGAGGACUGCACAGGCGGCGGCGCCACCCCGCGCACGGCCGUCGCGGCCAUCCCCAGGCGCGCGCCCCUCCCGCGCGCGGCCGCCAGCAAGGCGCCGUCGCGCCCCUCCCACGCGCGGGCCCAGGAGCCGGCGCGCACACCCGGCGGCGCUGUCGCACUCGCGUGGCCGCCGCCCAGGCGCUAGCGCGGCCAGGACGAUGCCCAGGCGUCGCACCCCUCCCCAGGCGCCACCAGUGCCAGUGCAAAGCUCGCGGAAAGGACGGGGGGCCCAACCUCCGUGCGUCGUCGCCGACUGGGCGAGGUCGGCCUUGGGCCCCACCCGGCCAACGCUGGUCCGUGUCACUGCCGAUUCGUCGGGGGCAAGGGCGGCGUCAGCAAGACCACCUGCAGCUCCAUCCUCUCCGUCCUCCUCGCCUCCGUCCGCCAGUCCGUGCUCGUCAUCUCCACCGACCCCGCACACAACCUCAGCGACACCUUCCAGCAGCGCUUCACCAAAUUCCCCACCCUCGUCCUCAGAUUCACCAACCUCUACGCCAUGUGCAUCUGCAUCAGCAAGGGGAACAGGAAGGAGCGCAUCUACGUGUUGGUGCUUGAUAUAUUUUCUAGACCUUUAUGUUGUCAUCAAACAUGAUACCAAGAUGGCAUAUUAUAUGGAUUUUGUAUUUUGUUUGUUGUUGUUAAUGUAAUAUUUGUCAAAUUAAUUUGUUGUGUGAUACUUAAUUAUGUUUGUAUGCAUUGUCAAUUGAAAUGUUGUCGAAAA